rnacentral:rRNA from 1 species
UACGUAGGGGGCAAGCGUUGUCCGGAUUUAUUGGGCGUAAAGAGCGUGUAGGCGGCCUUACAGGUCAGCUGUGAAAACUCGAGGCUCAACCUCGAGACGUCGGUUGAAACCGUAAGGCUAGAGUCCGGAAGAGGAGAGUGGAAUUCCCGGUGUAGCGGUGAAAUGCGCAGAUAUCGGGAAGAACACCAGUGGCGAAGGCGGCUGUCUGGGCCAGUUCUGACGCUGAGGCACGAAAGCGUGGGGAGCAAACAGG